CAGCAGCCGCGGUAACACGUAGGUCCCGAGCGUUGUCCGGAUUUAUUGGGCGUAAAGCGAGCGCAGGCGGUUAGAUAAGUCUGAAGUUAAAGGCUGUGGCUUAACCAUAGUACGCUUUGGAAACUGUUUAACUUGAGUGCAAGAGGGGAGAGUGGAAUUCCAUGUGUAGCGGUGAAAUGCGUAGAUAUAUGGAGGAACACCGGUGGCGAAAGCGGCUCUCUGGCUUGUAACUGACGCUGAGGCUCGAAAGCGUGGGGAGCAAACAGGAUUAGAUACCCCUGUAGUCCCUGUCUCUUAUACA
rnacentral:rRNA from 1 species